AGGCCGAUCUAGCAGGAACUCUUCCAGUCACAAUUACCAAUCAUAAAGCUGAAAGUGUGCCGCAAGUCAUCCCAGCCGUGAGCGAGCCUUUCUUCCUCUUAAUGAAGGCUGCUGUUCUCCGGAUUUCAAGCUGCACUGCUUUCGGCUGUGCUCUGAAAUGGAGAGGGAGGCUGAGAGGCGGUGGAACGGUAAAGCUUGAUGGAUAUCGAGCCGGCAUCACUAAGAAACACACUUCAUGCUCUCCAGAUGCAUUUACCAUCAGCGCCUCAUUGAGGAUUUAUUUUUAAUUGAAAAAAAAAAAUAAUAAUAAUAUAAAAGUUAUAUAUAAGUUUAUGGUUUAUGAUCACUAAAUUAUAUUCAAAGACA